CUGCGAAUGAUAGUGAUUACUCUUCAAAAAGAAGCAGCAUCAAUGAGCAGAGAGAGACGAUAAUGUUACCAGGAUGUGACUAUAAUCAUUGGCUCAUUGUCAUGGAGUUCCCUAAAGACCCUGCACCUACCAGAGAGCAAAUGAUUGACACGUACCUCAAUACUCUAGCAACUGUACUCGGAAGCAUGGAAGAAGCAAAAAAGAACAUGUAUGCAUUUAGCACCACUACCUACACUGGAUUUCAGUGCACUGUAUCUGAGGAAACCUCUGAGAAAUUCAAGGGAUUGCCUGGAGUUCUUUGGGUGUUGCCAGAUUCAUAUAUAGAUGUGAAAAAUAAGGAUUACGGAGGGGACAAAUAUAUAAAUGGGGAGAUAAUUCCUUGCAAGUAUCCUACUUAUCAACCAAAGCAGCGGAGAGAUUCCAAAUAUGUGAGCAAGAGAUAUGAAAGACGAAGAGAUGGCCCUCCUCCUGAAGGAAGAAGACCAAGACAAGAAGCUACACAGUCCG
rnacentral:misc_RNA from 1 species